GAUCAUGGCUCAGGAUGAACGCUAGCUACAGGCUUAACACAUGCAAGUCGAGGGGCAGCAUGGUCUUAGCUUGCUAAGACUGAUGGCGACCGGCGCACGGGUGAGUAACACGUAUCCGAACCUGCCGUCUACUCUUGGACAGCCUUCUGAAAGGAAGAUUAAUACAAGAUGGCAUCAUGAGUCCGNAUGUUCACAUGAUUAAAGGUAUUCCGGUAGACGAG
rnacentral:rRNA from 1 species